rnacentral:rRNA from 1 species
UGGGGAAUCUUGCGCAAUGGCCUAACGGCUGACGCAGCGACGCCGCGUGAGGGAUGAAGCUCCUCGGAGUGUAAACCUCUGUUGCUCGGGACGAAUGGCGCCUUUUGGCGACGUGACGGUACCGAGUGAGGAAGCACCGGCUAACUCCGUGCCAGCAGCCGCGGUAAUACGGGGGGUGCGAGCGUUGUCCGGAAUCACUGGGCGUAAAGGGCGCGUAGGUGGCCUGGUAAGUCUGUGGUGAAAGCCCGGAGCUCAACUCCGGGUCUGCCGCGGAUACUGCGAGGCUCGAGUGCUGUAGAGGGGGAUAGAAUGCCGGGUGUAGCGGUGGAAUGCGUAGAAAUCCGGCAGAAGACCGGUGGCGAAGGCGGCCCCCUGGGCAGUAACUGACACUGAGGCGCGACAGCGUGGGGAGCAAACAGGAUUAGAUACCC